rnacentral:rRNA from 1 species
CUGCCGCGUGAGUGAAGAAGGCCUUCGGGUUGUAAAGCUCUUUCGGCCGGGAAGAAAUCGUGGUCUCUAACAUAGGCCAUGGAUGACGGUACCGGACUAAGAAGCACCGGCUAACUACGUGCCAGCAGCCGCGGUAAUACGUAGGGUGCGAGCGUUAAUCGGAAUUACUGGGCGUAAAGCGUGCGCAGGCGGUUUUGUAAGACAGAUGUGAAAUCCCCGGGCUUAACCUGGGAACUGCGUUUGUGACUGCAAGGCUAGAGUACGGCAGAGGGGGGUGGAAUUCCUGGUGUAGCAGUGAAAUGCGUAGAGAUCAGGAGGAACACCGAUGGCGAAGGCAGCCCCCUGGGCCUGUACUGACGCUCAUGCACGAAAGCGUGGGGAGCAAACAGGAUUAGAUACCCUGGUAGUCCACGCCCUAAACGAUGUCGACUAGUCGUUCGGAGCAGCAAUGCACUGAGUGACGCAGCUAACGCGUGAAGUCGACCGCCUGGGGAGUACGGCCGCAAGGUUAAAACUCAAAGGAAUUGACGGG